CGGCGCGUCCUCAGUAUUUAAUGUCUCUGUGUUCCUCCGGCCUGGGCGAGCACGUGGGGGAGCGGCCGAAGCGCUCCUCUGCGGCCGGGCCGCGGGGCGAGGCAGGGGUUGGGGGGCGGCGGGACCCCGACGGUCUGCGAGGAGCUGGUGAGUUGCAGCCCCAUCCCCUGCCGGGGCCCUGAGGAGGCGCCGUCGGGGUGAUGAGGCGGCCGGGGUGCAGGUGUAGGGUGGGACGCGCGGUCGGGGCGCCGGGGGUGUGCGGGGGGGCUGUCAACCGCCGCCCUGUCACGCAGACCGGGCCUGCCACACGCCCUCCUCCCGCGCCGCGCGUCUGCCCGCGUGCUGCAGCUGCUGACAGGUCGGGUGUGCGGGGCUCGCCCCACGCGCGUCACCGCCCUCAGGGGCGGGGGCGAGGACGCAGCGUCCGGGGCGCCCCUCCGCGCCCGAACUUUCCCCGAGCGCGCACCCCGCGGGUGGGGCAGACCUGAGCGCGUCCCACCCAAGGUCGCCCAGCCCCACUCGCGUUUACGUUUCAAAGGUCGUGUGUACCCAGUCGGAGCCCGCAGGGGCGAGGCGGCGGUGGGGCGGGCUGUAUUCAGGGCCAGGCACUCCGAGAGCGAGGAGGUCCCCUGGUCCCCGCAGGAACCCCCUUCUCCCGCUGAAGGAUCGGAGUUUCUUCGGUCAUUUCCGGAGCCUCUUCUAACUUCUGGGCUCCGUGGGCUCGUCCCGGGUGGCCCCGGCGGUGGUGGCAAACCUGAGCAGGUCCCUCACGGAGCCGCUGGAGUUCACUGCGGAGAACACGUAGAGGAGACGGGGCGGACGGACCCCGGAGGAUAGGUUGGGAGACCGGCUGUGAUCCGAACGGCAUUUGGAGCGGAGGAGCGGAUCAAACCAAGUUAGGGGCGGGAGGUCCAGGGCUUGGAAGUGUCGAGGGGAUUAGCGUUGCAGAGGUAGAGGCUGUCCAGCUUGAUGUGCCCGGUUAUUUUCAAGCCUUCUCCAACCUGUCUUCCCGCCUGGGGCCGCCUAGGGUCACGUGCACCCCGCCCCCACCCCCGCCUCAGGCCAGGGAUCUGGGGAAACUCGCGCACUGCUGGGAGGGAAGAAUAGGAG
rnacentral:lncRNA from 1 species